rnacentral:rRNA from 3 species
UCAGGGUUCCACCUCUUCCCAUUCCGAACAGAGAAGUUAAGCCUGAUCACGCCGAUGGUACUGCGUAACAGUGGGAGAGUAGGUAGUCGCCGUUU